rnacentral:sRNA from 1 species
UUUUUUUUUGGUUUUGUCAUUCAGUUUACCCAAUAAAAU